rnacentral:rRNA from 1 species
UACGUAGGGGGCAAGCGUUGUCCGGAUUUAUUGGGCGUAAAGAGCGUGUAGGCGGCCAAGCAGGUCCGCUGUGAAAACUCGAGGCUCAACCUCGAGACGUCGGUGGAAACCGUUUGGCUAGAGUCCGGAAGAGGAGAGUGGAAUUCCCGGUGUAGCGGUGAAAUGCGCAGAUAUCGGGAAGAACACCCGUGGCGAAGGCGGCUCUCUGGGACGGUACUGACGCUGAGACGCGAAAGCUAGGGGAGCAAACGGG